GGGUUUUCGGCAUUUCUGUAGGUACAGCCUGACCCCCUGAUCAUCCCUGAUAAGGAUGAGGUCCCUGGUUCAAAUCCAGGUAGGCCCACCA
rnacentral:tRNA from 1 species